UACGUAGGGAGCAAGCGUUAUCCGGAUUUAUUGGGUGUAAAGGGUGCGUAGACGGAGAAGCAAGUUAGUUGUGAAAUCCCUCGGCUUAACUGAGGAACUGCAACUAAAACUACUUCCCUUGAGUGCUGGAGAGGAAAGUGGAAUUCCUAGUGUAGCGGUGAAAUGCGUAGAUAUUAGGAGGAACACCAGUGGCGAAGGCGGCUUACUGGACUGUAAAUGACGCUGAGGCUCGAAAGCGUGGGGAGCAAACAGG
rnacentral:rRNA from 1 species